UACGUAGGUGGCAAGCGUUGUCCGGAUUUACUGGGCGUAAAGAGCGCGCAGGCGGUCGUACAAGUCGCGUGUGAAAGCCCCCGGCUCAACUGGGGAGGGUCACGCGAUACUGUUCGACUCGAAGGCAGGAGAGGGAAGCAGAAUUCCUGGUGUAGCAGUGAAAUGCGUAGAUAUCUGGAGGAACACCGGUGGCGAAGGCGGCAUCCUGGACCAACACUGACACUGAGGAGCGAAAGCCAGGGGAGCAAACGGG
rnacentral:rRNA from 1 species